GUAAUGCCGGAUGCUCCGACUCCUCGCAUGGGGUGUCGGGAAAGAUUUCAUCGGUAUGGGAUGGGGUCGCGUCCUAUCAGGUAGUCGGCGGGGUAACGGCCCACCGAGCCUACGACGGGUAGCCGGCCUGAGAGGGCGACCGGCCACAUUGGGACUGAGAUACGGCCCAGACUCCUACGGGAGGCAGCAGUGGGGAAUAUUGCACAAUGGGCGCAAGCCUGAUGCAGCGACGCCGCGUGCGGGAUGACGGCCUUCGGGUUGUAAACCGCUUUUGAUCGGGAGCAAGCCUUCGGGUGAGUGUACCUUUCGAAUAAGCACCGGCUAACUACGUGCCAGCAGCCGCGGUAAUACGUAGGGUGCAAGCGUUAUCCGGAAUUAUUGGGCGUAAAGGGCUCGUAGGCGGUUCGUCGCGUCCGGUGUGAAAGUCCAUCGCUUAACGGUGGAUCUGCGCCGGGUACGGGCGGGCUGGAGUGCGGUAGGGGAGACUGGAAUUCCCGGUGUAACGGUGGAAUGUGUAGAUAUCGGAAA
rnacentral:rRNA from 1 species